rnacentral:lncRNA from 1 species
GCAACAGUUUGGUCGUCAAAUACCUCCGGCGAAGGUGUUGAGACGGCAUACAUGUCUGAAUCCGGCAACUUCAUCUUGUACAAUGGCACCAACUUCCCUUUAUGGCAGAGCUUUUCUCACCCUUCAGAUACUCUCCUCCCAAACCAACCUCUCACAGCUUCAAUGGAGCUCACAUCCUCCUCACCUGCGCAUGGUGGUUACUACACUCUCCAGAUGCUGCAGCAGCCUACUUCCCUCAGCCUUGGACUCAUCUACAACUUGCCCGACUCUUACAUCACCUCGUUGCAGUCUUAUGCCAACUACUCCUACUGGUCUGGACCCGAUAUAUCAAACGUAACAGGAGAUGUAGUCGCGGUUUUGGACGAGGCGGGGAGCUUUGGGAUCAUGUAUGGGUCGUCAUCUGAUGGGGCGGUUUAUGUUUACAAAAGUGAUACUGAUGAGAAAGGGCUGUCUUCGUCUGUGAAUCAGACAGUUAGGCCAUUAGUUCUUCGAAGACUGAUACUCGAGAUGAAUGGGAAUUUGAGGCUGUAUCGUUGGGACGAUGAUGUGAACGGCACUCGCCAAUGGGUGCCUGAAUGGGCUGCAGUUUCUAACCCAUGUGAUAUUGCUGGGGUUUGCGGAAAUGGGGUGUGUAGCUUGGACAGAAGCAAGACUAAUGCCUCGUGUACAUGCCUGCCGGGGUCUUCUAAGGUGGGAGACAGCGGCCAGUGCUCAGAGAAUUCGUCGGUGUCAACUGGGAAAUGUGAUAAUAAUCAUCGGAAUUCAACUGCUUCCAAGCUGAAGAUGUCGAUAGUACAGCAAACUAACUACUAUUACCCUGAAUCUUCGAUUAUAGCAAAUUAUAGUAACAUGUCCCCAUUAUCAAAGUGUGGGGAUGCUUGUUUAUCAGACUGUGAUUGUGUUGCUUCUGUGUAUGGGCUGAGUGAGGAAAAGCCUUACUGUUGGCUGCUGAACAGCUUGGAGUUCGGUGGAUUCGAGGACACGAGUUCGACCUUGUUUGUGAAGGUUGGGCCUAAUGGGUCACCUGAAGGCAACGCAACAGGAUCUGGGGAUUCAUCUGAUGGCCUCCGGGACAAGGUCUUGGUUCUUCCAAUUGUUCUCAGCAUGAUUGUCCUUGUAGCACUCCUCUGCUUCUUGUUAUAUCACACUGUGUACAGAAGGAGGGCCUUGAAGAGAUCCCUGGAAAGCUCCUUGAUUGUGUCCGGUGCUCCAAUGAAUUUCAGUUACCGCGAUUUACAGUCCAGAACCGGCAAUUUUUCGCAGUUGCUCGGCACAGGUCAGCAUGUACAUAUACCUAUACUUUGAAAGGGAUGAAAUUGUUCGAAAAAAGCCAGUUGGACUUGAUCAAUUUGGAUUAAUGUUGUCUUCUCUUUUUUUCAGGAGGGUUUGGGAGUGUAUACAAGGGAAGCCUUUCAGAUGGGACAUUGGUUGCAGUGAAGAAGCUUGACAAGGUUUUGCCUCAUGGGGAGAAGGAAUUCAUAACUGAAGUGAACACCAUUGGCUCUAUGCAUCACAUGAACCUGGUUCGCCUAUGUGGCUACUGCUCGGAAGGCUCUCACCGGUAUGCAUUUCAUUUCAUCGCCUAAAACCAAUUACCACUAACCAUAAUUAAAUUCUUAUCAUCCUCUUUUGGGGUCAAGCAUACUAUAUUUUCGAGCAUAUAAUGGGGUUGGAAUUUGAUGAUUCUUCACAGGCUUCUGGUUUAUGAGUUCAUGAAAAAUGGUUCCUUGGACAAGUGGAUAUUCCCCUCAAAGCAUUGCCGGGACAGACUGCUAGAUUGGGGAACUCGUUUCCAUAUAGCCAUUGCUACUGCACAAGGGAUUGCUUAUUUUCAUGAGCAGUGCAGGAAUCGGAUAAUCCACUGUGAUAUCAAGCCUGAAAACAUACUUCUAGAUGAGAAUUUCUGUCCAAAAGUUUCAGACUUUGGACUAGCAAAGCUGAUGGGCAGAGAGCAUUCACAUGUUGUCACUAUGGUGAGAGGAACUAGGGGCUAUCUGGCUCCAGAAUGGGUUAGCAACCGGCCUAUUACUGUAAAAGCCGAUGUCUACAGUUACGGAAUGCUUCUCCUGGAGAUCGUUGGUGGCCGGAGAAACCUUGACAUGACCUUUGAUGCAGAAGACUUCUUCUAUCCUGGGUGGGCUUUUAAGGUAUAGAUCAAUCAAGUUCUUGCUUCUGUAAAUCACAAAUUGUUAAGUGUUUGAUAUUUUAUUAACGAAAAUGCCAAUUCCUCUAGGAAAUGAGUAAUGGGACGACAAGAAAAGUUGCAGACAGGCGACUGGAAGGGGCAGUGGAGGAAGAGGAGCUAGAAAGAGCAUUGAAAACUGGCUUUUGGUGCAUUCAAGAUGAGGUUUUCAUGAGGCCUUCAAUGGGGGAAGUGGUGAAGAUGUUGGAAGGAUCACUUGAAAUCAACACACCGCCAAUGCCACAGACAGUUCUGGAGCUCAUGGAGGAGGGCUUGGACAAUGUAUACAGAGCCAUGAAGAGAGAGUUCAACCAGUCCAGCUUCUUCACCAUCAAUAAUAGUACCCAUCCUUCAUCAAGGGCUACAUGUAGUUAUUCCACAAUGUCACCUAGAUAGCAAAGGAGAAAUGGAACAAAUUUUGUUGUUGUCCCGGAAUUUUAUCACCUUGAUAAAUACUGUCCAGAAACAUAAUUCUUAUUGAUCAAUUGUUACCAUACAUACUAAUGGGCAAUGAAAUUAGUAGAGAACUUUGCAUAGGUUGAGGUACGAAAAUCUGUCUUUUAAAGGAGAUUUAAGCCAUUUCUGGUUUGACAAUUUGAGAAAUUGGUGUACUUGACUUCUCUUUCAUUUGUCCCCGCAAGGAUACGAUAGUCGGCCAAGUGAUUUGUUGCAUAGCUCACAUCAAUAUGCAUAAAGCAUAGAACUUAAGGCUUCACAAAGAAAAGUCUUUUUUUGCCAAGAAAAAAAAAAAAAGAAGAAAGGAAGAAGAUAACUAAAAAAUGUCUGAAGUUACAUGACAUUAAGAGUGUGAGUCAAAAGACUCAUCGUAAAGUUUAAAAUCUUCAACAAUUUCAAAAGAAUUCAAUCUAGCUCUUUAAUUUUUAUAAGCUAAAUCCCAUUGACAUAAAUGAUAUUUAAUACUUCUCAAUUCCCAUAAUUGUAACUACAAAUUCAAUAAUCCAUUAUGCCAACUUUCAUAUAUAACCAUAAUGUUGGUAGCUAGUUUACAUUGAUAACUUUGUUCCAAACUUGUUGGAUCUAACUCUAAUAUUUAAUUACUUCAUGUGACUUACAUUGGACUUGAAAACUUGAUAUUAUUAUCAAUUCCUCCUUAAGGUCAUUCUGGUAACUAUGAUUAAGUUUGUUCGGAUGAAUAAUGACAUCGAAAGGUAUAUGCUGGUUUUUAUUAGAUGAUAUGAAAAUAAUAGGGAAAAAAAGAAAAAAAGAAUCGGAUUUGGAUUGGCAAUCAAGUGAUCCCUAUGAGUGCUUAAGUGCUCAAAACCACUUUACAUAAUUUUUUACUAAUUUUCUUAUUCAAUUUUUUCAUGAUAUUUUUCCGCUACAAUUUUUAAGAUUAUGAUUACACCUUAUGUUAUUGAUUUGAUAUAUGUUUUUUAGAGCUAGAUGCUAUUAUUCUCUAAGAGCCCCAUCGUGGAUUAAGUUUAGUUUGUGGUGAUUUCUUUCAUUAAGGAAUACACUCUCUCUCUCUCUCUCUCUAAUUGGGAAAUAUCAUGGUGGAUAUUGAAGUGACAUAUGGGAGAGUUUGUGGUGAUUUCUUUCAUUAAGGAAUACUCUCUCUCUCUCUCUCUCUAAUUGGGAAACAUCAUCGAUAUGUUGGUGGACAUUGAAGUGACAUAAGGGGAGAUGGAUAGAUAUUGAAGUGACAUAUAGGGGAGAUAUAUCCAUCUACCGAAGUUUAGGUUAUUUUUAAAAAAAUUGAUAUUUUUGCCAUUCACAUAUUUAAGAGAAUAAAAUAUAAAAGAGUUAAAUAUCUUAAUCCUCGUAAAAUUGAAAUUUCAACUUUUGACAUGUCAAAUUACAAAAUUAUAAAACACAUUAAAUUUUGAUAUGCCUUAGAAAAAACAUAUUUAAUUCAUUUUUUUAAUUUUCUUUGUUAUCUUAUUAAUUAAGUUAGCAAAUUACAUUAAAAAUCAAAUAACAAUGGAUCAAUUAAAAGAUAUAACACUAUGUUCGGUUGUCUAAGAUUUGAAAGUAAUGACAACAAAAAGAAAACAAAGAAAAAAAUAAAAAGAAAAAUAAAAAUACAUUUAAAAUUAAUAAAUUAUUUUUACAUCUUAAUAAAUUAUUUUUACAUAAUUCUUUAUUCAUUUCACUUAUUUAUACUCUUUUAUAUAAAAAUUAAAUAUUUUUAAAAAUAUAUAAAUUCUUAAUUAAUUUUAAUUAUAUUUGAUUUUUCUUUACACUUUUUUAGAGUUAAUUUUGUUUACCUUCUAGAGCUUUGGGUUAAAUAUAUUUAGUCACCUUGAGUUUAAAAUUUUAUCAAAUAUCUUUUUUUUCUUUUUUUUUUGAGUUAGAUGUAGGGGCAUAACUUGAGCAGAUAGGCCCUACUCAACCUGAUGUUUGAAUAACUUGAACAAUUAUUUUCAAUACUUGAGUUGUGAUAGAUUAAAUAUUUUCAAUUUGUGCUCAAUUUGGAUGACUAAAGAUUCAAACAACUCAAACCUAAUCCAAAUCAGAUUUAAUAUUUUUAUAAUAUUUAUAAUAUAAAAUAUAAAAUAUUAUUAUUACAUAUCAUAUCUUGAAAUUUUGUUCUAUUAACUAUUUAAAUUUUGACAUAAAUAUAUGAGUUUAUUACACUUUACCCCUGUAACUUAUAACUUGUUUCGCACAUUGUCCCAUCAAGUUCAAAAUUGAGUAAUGUACCUUCCAUAUUUAAUAACUGUAUGUAAUGUGCAUUUUUUUUAAAGACAACAUUAUUUUUUGGACGGAAAGGUAUGUGCUCUCUGCAUGAUUGAGGGCAAAAGUGUCUUUUUUCCUUUGCAGCUCCCUCUCUCGAUCGUUACUCCCCUUUGGAACCCCAAAUUGUAGCUCGCUUCUUUUUGACCCCGUUCUUCUUUUCUUCUUUCAAAGCCUCAGAAUGCGAAUCCCAAAAAGUUGCUACUGAAGCCCCAGAUAAUUUCUCAUGUUUAUAGGGUGGAAAUGUUUCUCCAAAUUUCCCUCAAAAAUUGCCUAAAAAUUUCCUAAAAAUUUCCCCAAAAAUUCCCCCAGUUUUCUAAAACAUGAAAACAAAACCCCAACCCUUAUAAAGGAUUAAGGGUACAUUAUUCGAUUUUGUACUUAAGGGGUCAAUGUGUAAAAUACGCUUUAAGUUGAGGGGUAAAAUGUAAUUAACUCUAAAUAUAUAGAAUUUUUUUUUAAAAAAAAAACAUUAUUUGGGUAAAUUUUGAAUUAUGCAAUCGAUUAUUUUCUCUUGAAUAGCCUCAUGAAUCCGAACUCAAUCUAAUUUUUUAUCGUACUUUAGAUAUAUAUAACUCAUUUGUCUUGUCUCGGCCACAUUGUCCCAAUCACAUUCAUAUAAGAAACUUAUGUUUGGGGCUGGUAAUAUUAAAAUAUUAUGAGAUUGGUAACUCAACUUUUGAUUUUUUAAUAUAACUAUUCUAAUCCCAAAAAUAAUAUAGGGUUCAUGCACUUUGAGCUGAACUAUUUUUUAAUGUCCAAUAUGCCAUCUUCUUUCUGCCAGGUCAAACUCCAACAUCUCCUGUGAAAAAAAAAAGGGUCUUCUUCCAUUUCCAGCAUCACCUUCACUAGAUGACCAUAACUCAUCCCAAACUUCUUCACCUCCAUUCGCGGACUCUCCACUGUCGAGUCAACUCGUUUCAUCUCAGUCACCGCCGCGGCUCAUCACCAACGACGACCGAGGAAACCUCGACUCUAUGUACCGCAUCAACGUCUCCCCCGAUCUCGAAACGGUGUCAGAGCCACACUGCAGAACCAGCAUAUCGGGUUUGAGAAUCGGCGUCUCGGCCGACACCAUUCAGACGGAUACGCAUUUGUGGUGCAAGGCGAACCAGACGUAGGAGGUGAGAGGAACCGCUGGAGACAAACGACACCAAAAUUCCUUUCCCAUCUUCCACUCCCUGGUUGUAGGUCUCGUCAUAGGAAACAAACGGCUGAGACUUAGUAAAUUGGGAGAGGAAGCAUGCUAGUUGUAGGUGUGAGAAGUUGCGGGAGAGACAUGGACGAAGGUGGGGGUGGGGGGGAGGGAGAGAGAAAGAGAGAGAGAGAGAGAGAGUCGAAGAGGUUAGGUUUUUUUUUGGAUUUGGGUUUCAAAGGGGGGCAGAGCAGAUGGAAAAUUUUAGGCAAAACGUUUUAUGUUUUUUCAGUUUUUUUAUUUUUUACUUUUUAAAUAUGUGGAGGUUGACUUGUAAUAAGAGAGGGCAUAUUAGGUAUUAAAAAUAGCUCAGCCCAAAGGGCAUGGAACCCAAAAUAUUUUGGGUUCAAUAUUGAAAAAUUAAAAAUGGUAAAAAUGAGUUUUGGUUUUCAUAAUAUUUAGUUAUCACCAUCCCAAAACCUAACUUUCCCAAUUUUCUCUUUCGUGCUUUCUGUUCACUUGCUCCGCAAUUUACGCAAAGACUCUCUUACCAUUGACUUUAUUACAAUUUCUACAAGAAAAUUCGAACUUCAAGACUAAGCAAAAAUCCUAGGAAUCAAGCUGGAAGCUACAAUGCUGUUUCAGGGAAGCACAUGAUAUACAAAUACAACCCUUAUAAGUUACAGCUUCGGCACUGACCAGGAGACUGUAAGUACUGGCCAUGGAUGCAGAAGAAGAAAGGCUAAGUAAAACCCACAUCCAUGGCCAAUUGGUAGAGAUAAACCACAAUCAGGAGAAACGAAUACGCCACGAAGAAACAAAGGCGCAGAAUCUGACAACUGGGUUUGCGGUCGUCCAAGCUUUAAUUCUCAACACAGGGGUGAUCAAUAAGCCAUCCAACAGAUGCGAACACUGGUGGGUGCCAUUCUCUCUCUCCUUAUCCGUCGGUGUGAUUUAUUUCAUCACCAUUUUUGAGGUGUUGAGGAAAUGGUACCUUCUGCUCUACCAUUUGGACGUCAACUACCUGGAGCAAGAACUUAUUCUACUGGAAAUGCAUGGGGGUGCUCCGUCCUGGCGAAAUGAUCAGCCAUUGAAGCCAGAUGUGGUGAAGCUCCUGAGGCGUAAAGCUUAUAUCACGAUACUGAUUUCUGCUAUGCUCGCCUUUCAAGCUCUGAUGCUCCACGCCUGCAGAUCCUUUCUUUGCAGCUGAAAGUAACCAUCUUCCCCUUUAAAUAAAUACUAGAAUAAAAAAAAAAAUUGUUGUUUAUUAUGCCAAAUUUCUCGAUGCCUUUGAAGAGUGUCAUGGGAAAGGCUAUUAAGAUGCAAACUACAUAAUUCAAAAUGCAUUAUAUGCAACGAAAUUAUUUACCAUGAAAUUUAUUUAUAUUGUUUUUCUUUCUAAAGUAUUCAAAAUGCAUGAUAUGCAAUCGAAAAAUUUGAGGGAAAAUAUUACAGAAAGAAAAUAGAGAGAAAAAGUAGAAUAAAAAAAUGAAAAAAAAUAAAAAAUAUAUUUAAAGUCAAUAAAUUAUUUUUAUAUUUUAUUUUAAACUCAUUUUAUUUAUUUUAACUCAUGAUAUAAAAUUAAAUAAUUUUAAAAUAUAUAAAAUUUUAAUUAAUUUUAAUUAUAUUUGAUUUGAGAAACUCAUUUUACUACACAUUUUUUUUUCCCUUUUUCAGUAGUUUUGGCAACCAAACAUUUACCUAAAAUUUUGUUAAUGCAUCUCCCUAGGUGUUUGUGCUCACAUAUUGGGCCCAAGAAUGGGUUCCUGCAACUACCAUCAGUGGGCUGGGCUGCCCAAUCAAUAACAAAAGGGCACUCACCUGGGUCUCAUGGGCCGAAAAAAAUGGAGCCCAUACACAACAGUUUUGAACCCAAACAUAAAUUUCAAGUUCAUAUAUACUUUUAAUCUCGUUUAUUCAUUCAUAUUAGAAAUCUAGAUUUAUAUUAAUUCAUUCAUGUAGAUCUAUAUAUUAGGAAUCAAAUUAGAGUGCAUAGAAACCAAAAUUAAGAGAGAGGAUUAUACCCAAGGAAGUUUUGUGUGAUACGUUGAACCGAAAGUGAUAAAAACUAAGGCUAUGUUUGGUUCCCGGAAAAUUUGAGGGAAAAUGCGAGGGAAAGAAAAUACAAAGGAAAAGUAGAAGGAAAGAAAAAGUGAAGGAAAAUAAAAAAAUAUAUAAAAAUUUGAUAAAUUAUUUUUUUUGUUACUUCAAACUCAUUUUAUUUAUUUUAACUCAUCAAUAUAAAGAUUAAAUAAUUUAAAAAUACAUAAGCUUUUAAUUAGUUUUAAUUAUAUUUGAUUUUCUUUGAUAUUUUUCAUAGGACAACCAAACAUGAGAAAAUCAUUUUCCUUAGCAUUUUUUUUCUUUCCUUUGUACUUUCCGGGAACCAAACAUAGCCUAAGACUAUGUUUAAUUCUCAAAAAGCAAUAAGGAAAGAAAAAAAAUGAAGGAAAAUUAUUUUUUCGUAUUUUAUUUUUCUAUGAAAACCUUGAAAGGAAAUAAAAUAUAAUUAAAAAUUUAUUAUAUAUUUUUAAAUUAUUAAUUUCCAUAUAAAAGAGGAACAAAAUGUCAGAUGAAUUUGAAGUAACAAAUAAAAAUAAUUUAUAAGUUUUAAAUUCAUUUUUUUAUUUUCCUUAAUUCCUUCUUUUACUUUUUCUUUCUAUUUUCUUUCCCUCACAUUUUCUCUUGGAUUUUCUAAGAACCAAACAUAAUAUAAAAAAUAUUUAAUAUAAAAAAACAAAUAAUAUAUAAAAAAACCCAAAUAAUUUGACAUGUGGUAUAUUGUUGCUAGUCAAAGUAAUGGUCGUGGGUGACUUUUAGAAGCCUCCAAUAAGAAAUGGCCAAAAAACCUAUGAGCUCGGCAUUUAUUUGAGUAUCUCGAGGACAAUAUUUUAUUUUUAAUUAUGUGUUUUAAUUCAUUGUUUUUUUUCUUUAAUAUUAUUUUAGAAAUAUGUUUAGAGAUAUGUUAAUUUUAGUGCUUAAAAAGAUUUUGAAAUAUAAAGAUUUUGAUAAUUAAAAAUUCGUUUAAAAAUGAUUUUAGGAAGCAUUUAACCUAUUUAAUCUUUAAAAUUUUUAUAAAAGAGUUGUUUUCAAGUGCUAAAAAAAUUAGAGACAUUUUAUAAAAUUACUAUUAAAUAAAUUCUAAAUAUAAUCGAGUCGUGUGACUAUAAAUUGCUAGACUUUUCCAUGUGAUUAAUCCUUGGAUACUUGGAAUUUGUUUAUGUGGGGUAGAGCUUUUGUGAGUUUGUUUGCAAUUUUCUCAUACUAGAAACAAAUGAAUGGUCAGAGAAAGGAACAUAGAAAAGAGAAGAUUGAAACACCUUCACCUGCUCCGAAGGUUCGUAUGAUCUUCAUGCCAGCCUCCAUGCCUCAUUUUCCCGCUUAUAAAAAAAGGCCACAAAAGACUUGACUGAUCUGAUAAAGCAGGGCCGGAAAAGCGAGCUCGACACGAAGAAACGAAAGCCGGCCAAUGCAGUCCGAGAGAUCACACAGCGAACUGUUCGAGUCUGGGCUUUUGUUUCUUCGUGUCGGUCUUGCUUCUGUCUCCGGCCGGAGGAACAAAAUUGUACAGACAUGGAUGGGAAGAACUCCUGUAAUAUCAAGAGUCCUUCUAUCUUUGGAUUGUUAUAAUAAUAUUAUCUUCAAAACAAAAUUUAUGCAAGUGGGGGUAUAUUUUUUAUUUUUUGUUUUUGAAAAUAGGAAGUUUUAUACAAAAUAUAAAAAAAUCUUAUAUGAAAGAUAGGUAUAAUAUUGUUAUGUUAUUUGAAAACAUUUUUUAAAAUUGACGGAAGUAAAAAAAUUUCAAUUCCAUAAAUUUUUAAAUUUUGAAAAAGUCUUUAAGAAGGGUAGGUAAGAGGAUGCUUGUUAAUGGUUAGAAAAUAGUUUUAUAUGUUUUAGAACAAAAGAAUAAUAAAAAAAAACAUGCUUAAUGAUUAGAAAACAGUUUAUACUCUUAAAAAACAAAAAAUCGGAGUGUUUUUAGAUAAUAUCUUUUAAUUUUUAAAAUUAUUUUUAUUUAUUGAAAAAUAAUCAUACAAAAUGCAGAAUGAUUAUGAGUAAAGUAUUACAUGUGAAACUUAUUUUUAAAAAAUAUUUAAAAACAUAAAAAAAAAGUUAAUAACAGUUCAAGUUUCCAAACAAACUAUUAUUUUACAAAAUAUUAUAUAAGAAUUUUAAAAAAUAGUUUUAAAAAAUACUUUUCGAACACAGUUUAAAUUUUUUUCUUUUUGUAUAAAAAUUCUUAUAUUUUGUAUAAGGGUUUUUAUUUUUAAAAAUAAAAAAAAUAAGAAAUAUAUUCAAAGAUAUUUAAUAAACAAUAAGAAUUCAAAAGAGAAAGCCUUAAAUUUUAUGUUAUUAUUGUAAAAUGAGAAUAAAUGUGACUCAAAUAAUAGUAGGGAUGACUAUGUAUUACUUUAAUAAUAUAUAUAUAUAUAGAGGGGGAGGGGGGAAGAAAUCAAAGAGAAGUGUUGAGAGAAUGAAAGAAAGAGAUAGAGAGAAUGAGAGGAAGAAAAUUUCUUUCUUUUUCUCGGGAUGCUCUUACAUGGGGUAUAAGAAGCCUUUUAUAGGAUUCAUAAUAUGAACUCCCAUUACUCAUCUUAAAGAUGAGUAAAUGGAGUUCAUAAAUGACCAUCAAUGUGGUCAUUUAUCACUUCAUUUACAACAUUCCCCCUUGGAUGACCACCUUAUUAAAAGAAUAUGUCUCAUUAAAACCUUGCUAGUAAAAAAUUUUAUAGGAAAAACCUAGCGAAGGAAAAAGAGUAUAAUAUUCUUUUCUUGGUAUAUUAGGACUGCCUCGUUAAAAACCUUGCCAAUAAAACCCAGUAGGACAAAACCUGGACGAAUGAAAAAAGAGUACAGUAUACUAACACCCUUUUACAAGCAUACUCCCUCUCAUGUCGAUAUCCUUGAGUUGACGCAUUCCAAUCAUAUAUAUUAAUUUCUUGAAUGUUGAGGUUGACAAUGAUUUUGUGAAUAAAUCUGCUAGAUUAUCACUUGAGCGUAUUUGUUGCACAUCAAUUUCACCACUCUUCUAGAGUUCAUGUGUACAAAAGAAUUUUGGUGAAAUGUGUUUAGUUCUAUCUCUUUUAAUAUAACCCCCUAUUAUUUGUGUAAUGCAUGUAGCAUUAUCUUCAAAUAAUAUUGUCGGGUCACCUUUGAUAGAGGAGAGUCCACAUGAUUCCCGAAUAUGCUGGACCAUAGAUCUUAGCCUUAUACAUUGAUGACUUGCUUCAUGAAUUGCCAGUAUUUCUGAAUGAUUUGAUGAUGUGGUCACCAUUAUUUGUUUGACAUCUUUCCAUGAAAUAGUAGUACCAUUGCAAUUAAACACAUACCCUAUUUGUGACCUACCUUUAUGUGGAUCUGAAAGAUAUCCUGCAUCUGCAUAUCCAAGCAAUUGUUGCUUUGAUUCCGUUGAGUAAAAUAAACCCAUAUCAAUAGUUCCGCAAAGAUAACAUAAUAUAUGUUUGAUACCAUUUCAAUGUCUUCGAGUUGGAGUGGAACUGUAUCUUGCUAAUAAAUUGACAGAAAAAGCAAUGUCUGGACGUGUACAAUUGGCAAGAUACAUAAGUGCACCAAUAGUACUAAGAUAUGGUACUUCAGGACCAAGUAACUCUUCAUUUUUUUCGCAAGGACGAAAUGAGUCAUUUUUCACAUCAAGUGAUCGGACAACCAUUGGAGAACUUAAAUGAUGCGCUCUAUUCAUAUAAAAGCGCUUCAAAAAUUUCUUAAUGUAUGUUGAUUGAUGUACUAAAACUCAAUUUGGAAAAUGCUCGAUCUGCAGGCCGAGAUAAAAUUUUGUUUUUCCAAGAUCUUUCAUCUCAAAUUCCUUUUUCAAGUAAUUUGUUGUUCUUGUGAGUUCUUCAGGAGUUCCAACAAGAUUUAAGUCAUCGACAUACACUGUAAUAAUUGCAAAUCCGAUUUCUGAUUUCUUAAUGAAGAUGCAUGGGCAUGUAGGGUUAUUCACAUAUCUUUUUUUUUAGCAAAUAUUCGCUAAGACGAUUGUACCACAUGCGUCCAAAUUGCUUUAAUCCAUACAAGGAUCGUUGUAACUUGAUUUAGUACAUGCUAUGAGACUUUGUACUAUUUUCUCCAGGCAAUUUAAAUCCUUUAGGGAUUUUCAUGUAUAUAUCAUUAUCCAUGGAUUCGUAUAAAUAUGCUGUAAUAACAUCCAUGAGAUGCAUAUCCAAUCCUUCUGAGACUGCCAAACUAAUUAAGAAACGAAAUGUGAUUGCAUCCAUGACAGGAGAAUAUGUUUUCUCGUAGUCAAUACUAGGUCUCUACGAGAAACCUUGUGCUACUAAUCGCGCUUUAUAUUUUAUGAUAUCAUUAUUCUCAUUGCGCUUUCGUACAAAUACCCAUUUGUACCCAAUAGGCUUUACAUCCUCAGGUGUUUGGACUACAGGUCCAAAAACUUCUCGUUUUGUUAACGAGUUUAACUCUGCUUGUAUAGUUUCUUUCCAUUUUAGCCAAUCAUUUCUAUGUCGACAUUCUUCCAUAUUUCGUAGUUCGGGAUUUUCAUCAUUUCUUAUGACUUCAUAGGCCACUUGGAAAGCAAAAAUAUUGUUAAUAACAAUAUUAUUUUGAUCCCAUUUUUCUCCCGUGUGUACAUAACUUACUAAGAUCUCACAAUUUUCAGGUACCUAUGCCUCUUUAGGGGCUUCUCGUUCAAUAUGUGGCUCUUCAUGGGCUUCUUGUUCAAUAUGUACCUCUUCAGGGGCUUUCUGUAUUAUUUAUGCCUCUUCUAGGGUUAUAAAUUUAUCAAUUUUAAAUUGAUCAGUCAUUUUGAUGACCUCUUCUAGAGUGCCAAGUUUUUCUUGGGUUCUCAUUUCUGGGAAGAUACAUUCUUUGAGCCAACAAGUUUACCACAUUUCAGGCGUAUCUUAGAUUCAUUUGUUAACUGUCCUACAGGGACAUCGAUCUGUGCUGAGUAUUUGCAGCCGGGAUAUAUGACUUUGUCACUUUCUUUGUAUUAAUGAAUGCAUAUGGUAAUUGAUUUGCAAGAUUUUGCAAAUGAAUGAUCCUUUGGAAGAUGGGUCAUAGUAGAUGCCUUCCAACUAAUUUCUCAUCGUUCUUUAGAAAUUGACUUUUCUCCCCUCUAAUGACUGGAAAACACUCUCAUUAAAAUGACAAUCCGCAAAGCGGGCAGUAAAAACAUCACCUGUUAAAGGUUCAAGAUAUCUUAUGAUAGAUGGAGAAUCAAAACCUACAUAAAUCCCAAGUCUUCGUUGGGAACCCAUUUUAGUGCGUUGUGUAGGUGCAAUUAGUACAUAAACUGCACAACCAAAGAUUUGUAAGUGAGAGAUAUUUGGUUGUUUUCCAAGCACAAGUUGUGAAGGGGAGUAUUCAUGGUAAGUUGUAGGUCAAAUACGGAUUAAAGCUGCAGCAUGCAUAAUAGCAUGUCCCUAGGCAGAAGUAGGUAAUUUGGUUCUCAUUAGUAAUGGUCGAGCUAUUAAUUGGAGAUGUUUGAUGAAGGAUUCUGCUAAACCAUUUUGGGUAUGAGUAUGAGCAACAAGAUGCUCAAUAUUUAUCCUUAUUGACAUGCAAUAGUCAAUGAAUGUUUGAGAAGUAAAUUCGCCAGCAUUAUCAAGACGUAUUGUCUUAAUUGGAUAAUCUAGAAAUUGUGCUCGUAAUCUGAUUAUUUGUGCAAGGAGUCUAGCAAAGGCAACGUUACGUGUAGAAAGGAGACAAACAUGUGACCACCUAGUAGAAGCAUAUAUUAAGAUCAUAAAAUAACGGAAUGGUCCACAUGGUGGAUGGAUAGACCCACAUAUGUCCCUAUGUAUUCUUUCUAAAAAGACUGGUGACUCAGAUUGACUUUAGUAAAAGAUGGUCUCAUUAUCAAUUUACCUUGUGAGCAGGCAACACAUGAGUAUUCAUUGGGUGAAAGAAUCUUCUAGUUCUUUAGUGGAUGUGCAUGUGAGUGUUCGAUUAUUCGACGCAUCAUUGAAGACCCUGGGUGACCUAGCCUGUCAUGCCAAAGGACAAAAACUUUUGGGUCGUUGAACUUCUGGUUCACGACAACAUAUGAUUCAAUAGGCUUUAUAGUUGUAUGAUACAACCCAGAUGAGAAAUUCGAGAGUUUUUCCAUUAUAAGCUUCUGGCCAGAUAUAAUGGAAGUAAUGUAAAUAUAUUCUAUAUUAUCUUCAUUCAUAGUUUCAAUAUGAUAUCCAUUUUUGCGGAUAUCUUUAAAACUGAGCAAAUUUCUUCUGGAUUUGCUAGAAUAUAAAGCGUCAUUUAUAUGGAAUCUAGUUCCAUUUGGCAACGUUAUGUUUGCUCUUCCAGAACCUUCAACUAAGUUUGUAGUACCAGAUAUGGUACUUACAUUAGCUUUUAUUAAUGUCAAUUCAAGAAAAUAUCUUUUAUCUAGAAGAAUUGUAUGCGUGGUCGCACAGUCUACGAGACAUACAUCAUCCUCAUUCAUCUUGAGACCAAAUAACACAUGGAUUUCAGAUAUAACAAAAUAAAACAAGGCAUAAUGUAAAUAACAAAGUAAAUCAGAUGUAAAUAUAAGACAUAAUAAUAUAUUAUUUCAUAUAUAAAGUAACAUCAAUCAAUGUUAAUUUUCUCAUCAUUUAUCAAAUGGUCUGUUUUUUCAUUGGGACCUCCAAAGAAAUCAAUGUUAUAGUAGGUUAGGUCUAAUCCAUCACCAUCGGUAAAGUUCAUCUCUAUCUCUUUUCUUUUUGCUUUUAUUGAUGCUUGGUAAAGGUCGACUAAAUGUUUGGGCAUACGACAGGUACGCGACCAAUGCCCCUUCAUACCACAUCUAUAACAAUUAUUCUCGUGGUUCUUAGGAGGUUUAUCUUGUAAAUACUUCCCAUUUUAUUGUAUUGUCUCAGUAUUGUUCCAUUUCUGGUGGUGCAAUGAGGCUUUCAUUUUCUGAGAAUUAUUACUAUAAGAACCAUGGUAUCGGGGAUUUCUUCCACGAUCACGACCACGUCCACGAGUUUGGGACGAUAUUGCAUUGUUCAGAUCUAGUUGGACGAGAUUGGUGAUUUCUCAUCAAAAUCUCAUUAUUUUGUUUAGCAACAAGAAGACAUGAUAUUAAUUCAGAAUAUUUUGUAAAUCUACGCUCUCGUUAUUGCUGCUACAAGAGCACAUUCGAGGUAUGAAACGUAGUAAAAGUUUUCUCUAACAUGUCUUCUUCUGUGAUUUUUUCUCCACACAGCUUUAAUUGAGAGUUGAUUUUGAAAAGUGCGGAGUUGUAUUCACUAACAGUUUUAAAAUCUUGCAACCUUAGGUGCAUUCAAUCAUAUCGAGCUUUUGGGAGAAUCACAGUUUUCUGGUGGUCAUAUAUUUCCUUCAAAUUACUCCAUAGAGUAAAAAAGUCCUUUACCAUAAGAUACUCAUUUUUUAAAGCUUCAUGGAAGUGAUGGCGAAGGAAAAUCAAUGCUUUUGCGCGAUUCUGCAGGGAUGCUUGAUUUCUUUCUUUGAUUGUAGCUCCAAGGUUCAUUGCAUCAAGAUGUAAUUCAGCAUCAAGGAUCCAAGAUGGAUAGUUCUUUCCCAAAAUGUCAAGUGCCACAAAUUCGAGUUUUGUGAUAGUCGACAUUGUCAAAUAACUUCAUAUAUAUGACAAAACAAUAUUAUUAGAAUCAAUUAUAAUAACUUGAUAGCAUUGGUAUAACUUUGAUUAUAAACAAAAUCAAAUAAUUUGUUUAUAACUUUUAACAAUAUGUAACAAAACAAAUCAACAAUAAUAUAACUAUGUAAAAUUUUAUCCUAUAUAAAUAACUUCAGGUUUAAGAUACGAGAAUUACCUUCAAAGCAAUUCGUGCUGAUAACGUGUUGUAAAAGGAGAAUAAAUGUGACUCAAAUAAUAGUAGGGAUGACUAUGUAUUACUUUAAUAAUAUAUAUAUAUAUAUAUAUAGAGGGAGGAGGAGGAGGAGGAGGAGGAGGAGGGGGGAGGGGGGGGGGGGGGGACCAAAACAAAAAAAAAUGUUGGGAAAAUGAAAAAAAAAAAGAGAAAGAAUGGGAGGAAAAAAAUUUUUUUUUUUUUUUCAGGAUGCUCUAACAUGGGGGGGAAAAAGCCUUUUAUAGGUUUUCUAAUAAGAACUCCCCUUACUCCUCUUAAAAAUGAGUAAAUGGAGUUCAUAAAAGACCCUCAAUGUGGUCCUUCCUCACUUCCUUUUCAACAAUUAUUAAUUUUUUGUAUUACUUAAAAGGGNNNNNNNNNNNNNNNNNNNNNNNNNNNNNNNNNNNNNNNNNNNNNNNNNNNNNNNNNNNNNNNNNNNNNNNNNNNNNNNNNNNNNNNNNNNNNNNNNNNNGGGAGGGGGGGGGGGGGGGACGAAAUCAAAGAGAAGUGUUGAGAAAAUGAAAGAAAAAGAGAGAGAGAAUGAGAGGAAGAAAAUUUCUUUCUUUUUCUCAGGAUGCUCUAACAUGGGGUGUAAGAAGCCUUUUAUAGGUUUCAUAAUAUGAACUCCCAUUACUCAUCUUAAAGAUGAGUAAAUGGAGUUCAUAAAUGACCAUCAAUGUGGUCAUUCAUCACUUCAUUUACAACAGUUAUUAAUUUGUUGUAUUACUUAGAGGGGGUGAAUGAAUUGAAAGCACUAUGGAGGUAAGCUUUUUAGUCUUUUCACCUUAUCCUUUUUAUACAUAAUGUCUCCAUCAAUGAUGUUCAGUAUAUUCCUUAUUUUUGUUUUACUCAAGUGUUCCUGUAUUGUAGCCCUCUCAAGACUCUUCCUCUUCACUCCAAACAAGUUAAUUGUCUUCAUAUCAAAGUAACAUAAGUUGAUUUUCUUAGAGGGCUAAUGCUACUUAUGUGAUUAUUUCUUUUACAAAAGUUGCAAAUAGUACUAUUUGAGGAUUCCUUGACAAAAUAAUUUUUAAAUUUUAAUUUUUUUAUUUUUUAUUUUUAUAGAGCUUGUAUCCUAAUCCCUUUAUGCCAAAGAUUAUUUUUUUACUUGCCAAAAUUAUCAAAAUUCUUGUCCCCAUUUGAGAAUUUUGAAAGAGAAGAGAUUAACUAAUGAAUUUUCUUUUCAAGUAAGUAUAUAUUUUAUUCCAAGGAAAACCUUAGCCUUUUUCAGAUAUUUUAAACUCCCAUUUUAAGUUAUUAAUUUCAACUUGAAGAGAGAUGAUUUUCUUUUUAAGAUAAGCCUGAAAGUUAUUUGAUCUAGUUUAGGUAACACCUAGAGGAGUUGAAUGGGUGUUUAAAAUUUUCUGCUUAAAAAUGAAUUAUUUUAUAAUCAUAUAACAAACAUUUUUUCAAUUUAGGAAAGCCUAAAAACACUCAAUACAAAAACAUAAGAUUUUUAUAUGGAAAACCACCCAUAUCAUGUGCGGAUGUAAAAACGACAAAGUCAGACUUUUAAUCAUUAAUUAACUAUUUGAAAGUAUUAUACAUGGUUUUAGUUGGUGGAAGCUAUCGUUAAGUCUUAUUACCCAACACCUACAAUGCACUUCACAUUUGCGAUAUAGCACUACAUGUGCUCUUAGUGGAUCUAACCUCAGUGCUUGAGAGGAUGUAGAUCUCCUUUUCAAUCCAACAUAAGCGAAAACAACAUUCCUUAAGAGUUUUAGGAAUAAGAUGACGAAUUUGGUUUUUCAAAAAAUUUGCAUCAAACCAAAAACCUUUUUAGGUAAAACAUUUAUAGGCAUAAGAAGCUAGCGGACUGGAUCUACAAUUUUCCAAAAUAAGACCUUAAAAAAAUUUAGAAAAUCAAAGUUCCAAAAACUUUGGAGAAUUCUAUCAUGGGUGUUUGAGUGCUCAUGGGAGCACUUGAGUGCUUAUGGAGAUUUUUUAAACUUUUUAAAAAUUCUUUUAGCUCAGUUUUAAAACCCUUAGUUCGCACUAUGCCUUAACAAACACCAAUUUGUCAUUCUUGAACCUUUUGAUUUUUAGUUGUGCCAUCUCGAUUGAUCACAUAACAACUUUGAGUCUUCAAUGAAGAGUAAAACACAAUUAGAAAGAUUCUAAACUAGAAUGAAAGGAACAAAAUUGUUGAUCUUAAAUUAUAUAGCCUAAUAUACCAACAAUCUCCUAUGAUAAUUUUAUGAAAAAAAAUACAAAUUACAUAAACCCCCUAAUACUCUUUAAUGGAGUUUAAGAAUUUCUCAAUAACUCUCGUCUAAACCAAAUCAUUCUUGAACAUACAGAUGAUGAUAAAUCACAUCUAAAAGUGGGCAAUACCCCACUACUUGUGACCUGCACACACAAACCAACCAAGUACCCAAGUAAAACAAUGUGUGAGAGAAAACACAACUCAAAUUCUAUCAAAUCAAGGUAAGAGUAGAUGGAUGUGAGUCAUGCAUACAAUGGAUAUCUAAUCAAUAGUAUCAAUAAAUUGUCUCCCCGUUUUUGUCGCAAAAAUGACAAAGAAGGAAUAAACAAUGAAUGCACAUAAGAGAAAGAGAAAUAAUUAAGCAAAAGAACUUCAACUUAUUUUUAGAAUGCUUCUUUCUUGGUAAGAUCUCUUAAGAAACCCUUCUUGAAAAUAGAAUUUUUUUUUUGUUUUGUUUUUUAUGAUGGAAAAUUGCUUUCUACCUUAAAAACUAUAUUUGGUAAAAUUUCACUAAAAUAAGUUUUUGAAAAUAGGUUAUUUUUUUGGAACAAAAGCUUUUAAAUAUCUAUAUAUAUAUAUAUAUAUAUUGUAGAAUAUUUCAAGAAAUAGUUGAAAAUAUGAAAAAUGUUUCGAGAACCUUUGUAUUUUAGAUUUGUGCACUUCAAUUUCAUGAACAAUAUUAAACUAAGAAAACUGUUUUUUAUAUACUAAUUUCUAAAUAAAAUUUUGUUGCUGGAAAUAACUAAAAUUUAUUUUAAAAAACUAUUUUUUAAGAAUUAUUUUUGAAAACGUUGCUAAAAAGACAAAAGUCCUUGGUCAUUUUUUUUUUCUUUUAUAUUUUUAUCUUUAUGUAAGAGGCCGGUCUUUUUUUUUUUUUUAAUGUUCCAUAAUCCUUGUGAUAUUGUAACGUGUAAUUCAUUUAUUUGACUUCAAAAGUUAAGAAAUAAUGAACCUUUCAUUAUUGUAGUUUGUCUUGUAGUAAGAGACUUAAAAAUCCAUGUACAAGAGGUCUUCGUUUCUUAAGUCAAGUCAACAAAAUGGAGGUGGAAGAAAUAAUGAACUUUCAUUAUUGUAGUUUGUCUUGCUAAAAGCCAUGUAUAACGGGUCUUCUUUUCUUAAGUCAAGUCAAUAAAUCAAAUUAAAAGAAAUAAUAAACUUUUAUUAUUGUAUUUUAUUUUGUAGCAAGAGACUUAAAAAACCAUGUAUAACAAGUCUUCCUUUCUUAAGUCAAGUCAAUAAAUCAAAUUAAAAGAAAUAAUAAAUUUUCAUUAUUGUACUUUGUUCUUGUAGCAAGAGACUUAAAAAUCCAUGUAAGAGGUCUUCAUUUCUUAAGUCAAGUCAAGUCAAUAAAUCGAAUCGGAAGUUUUUCCUUUUUUUUUUUUUUAAACCAACUUCUACUAUUACUUUUAUUAGUUAUUUUGAUCAUUUGAUUAAAUAUUGAAUUAUUAUUAUUUUUUAAAAAUUUUCAAGUACAAACCAUUUCAUGUUAAAAAAUUUAAAGUGGAUGUAACUUUCUUUUCAAGUUAAGAUAUCUUGAUUAAGGGAUAAAUAAUGGAUUGCAAUAUUUCAACUUUAAUUAAGUUAAUUUAUCAAUAUUCAAAUUAAGUUGGAGAAAAAAAAAAAAAAAAAGACAACACCUCAAUUUUAGUUUUCCAUUACACAUGAUUAUUUCUUUUUCUUCUUUUUCCUUUGCUUCUUUAACACGCAAUGAGAGCUCUAGUCAUCAUACCUUUCAAGACUCUAAACUUACAAAAAUUUUCAGUCUUUUCAUCGUAUCUUUUAAAAUUCUUGACACUCAUAAAGUAUUUAAGACUUAAUUUUAAUAAAUUCAUAUUUUUACAACUAUAACUAAGAGCUUUGACCUAUUAAAAAAAUGAAUAAAAAAUACUUUGCAAGACAUUAAAAGUUCAUAAUUAUUUCUUUUACCUUAAAUGUAGUUGUUAUGUGUUUGCUAGUUCACAUAUUUGAGCGUGGACCGUGGCGACCUGCAGACCCGGAGGGGCAGCGUUGUCUAUCAGAUUUUAGAAAAUUCGUGCAACUAGCCAUAUGGUUUUGGACUAAAAUAAAAAAUAAGACUUUAUUUUUGUUAUUUCUUUUAUCAAGAUAUCUUAAUUAAUAAUUCAAAAAUGUUAAUAAUAAAUUAUAAAAGAGAUUUUUGCUACUCUUCGAAAUUAUAAAAAAGUUUAUACACUCAUAAAACAAAUAAUUAAAUGUAUCUUCUAAUAAAUAAAUUUUUAUUAAAAUAAAUAAAUAUAUAUCUACUUUGACUUUAUUAACAUGAAGUAAAUUGUAGGUAUCUUUAAGUUAGAUUUCUUAUUGAUUAAAGAAAAAGACCAUUCAAGGUUUAGCUAGAUGGAAAAAAAAAUUUUAUUUAUUAGAAAAUUCAAUUUUUUUUAUUGAUGAAUCAUUGAUAAUGAUAUAUAAAAAUAAUUUAUAUAUCAUAUAUUAAUAUUACUUUAUAAAUAUUUUUUAGUUUUUCUUUUUUAAUCAUAAAUUUAAUUUAUAAUUAAAAAAAUUAUUUUAUAAAAAAAAAAAAAUUUAUGAUAUAUCGGAUAUACAUAUCUUAUAUCUUAGUAUAAAAUUAACAUAUCUCGUGUAAAAAAAAAUAAAAAAGAGUGAAUAAUAUAUUUCACCACUUAUACUAUCUCAUCAUUAAUUAAAUAUAAAAUUUAAUGUGAUAUCUUCUCUUUUAUCCUAUAUGAUGUUAUAUUUGGUCAAUCAAACAUAACCUAUAAAACUAAAAUUAUAGAAAUGAAAUGCAAGAGACCUUACUGAAAAAUUGAAAGUAAAAUUAUUGAUUUUUGAAAGUAAAUAUUGAUAAUAUUAUAAAAUUUUCAUUAACAUAAAUUAAAAAAUUAAAGGAAAAAAAAACAUAACACUAUCCUCACAAUUCCGUGAUAUUGUUUUUUUCAUAUUAGAAAUCCUUAUAAUCAACUUUCCUGUUUUAAAAAUAAUUUUUAUUACUAAUUUAGAUUAAAAAAAAAAAAAAAAAACCUUUCAACCAACCACACAUGUGACACAUGGUGGUUGUUUUUGAAUUUCAAUAAAAGAUUUUAUAAUUAUUAAGAAAAGAAAAAAAUGUUAAGAAAAAUGAUUAUUUUUAUUUGAUUUUAUUAUGAAAUAUAUGAAAGUAAAAAUAUAUAAUUAAAAUUAAUAAAAAACUAAUAUAUUUUAAAAUUAUUUAAUUUUUAUUUUUAAAAAUUAAAUAAAUAAAAUAAAAUUAAAAAUAAUUUAUUAAUUUUAAAUUUAUUUUUUAUUUCUCUCUCACUUGUUCUUUAAGACGUGUUGCGUGUAAAAUACCAUAAAACAAGUCAUAUCACCAUGCUCAAGAUUUCAACAUGGUAGGUGUAGGUUUUGAAGACUUUUCCAUGUGAUUAACACUUGGAUACCUGAAUUUUCUUUGGGUGGGGUUGGGCUUCUGUAAGUUUCUCUGCAAUUUUCUCCUACUUGGAAACAAAGGAAUGGUCAAAGAGAGGAACUCAGUGAAGAGAAGAUUGAAACGGACUGGAUACACCCUCGCCUGCUUCGAAGGUUGGUAUGAUCUUCACGGUUGGUAGGCCUUCUCAAGUCUCCAUGCAUGCCUCAUUUUUCCCAUAUGAUAAAUCAAUGGUCGGAAGAGCGAGCUUAACACGAACAAACAUGAUAAAAUCAUUAAAUUUUUGGAAUAAUAAUAUGAUGAAGUUAAUAAAUGAUAAGGAUUAGGAAGAUGUUUAAUGAAAUUUUAAAUUAAUAAUAAUUAGAUGUAUUUAACCUAAACUUUUGGAGAGAUUAAUGAAAUUAAUCAUAUAAAAAUUUCUUUAAUUUUAAUUUUAGAAUAAAUAUUAACAAUAUUUUUUUCAAAUAUAAAUAAUAAUAUUUGGAAAACAUCAUCAGUAAAUUGCCUUUUCAAUUUUUUCUCUAAUUGUCAUUUUAAAUGAAUAUUAAAAUCCUUUUAGUAAAAUUUAUGAAUUUAGUAAAAUAUUAAUAUCUAUAUUUUAUAAUUUUUAAUAAAGUUUUAUCAUUUUUAAUAUAAAAAAAAUUAUAUAAGUUGUGUUUGUCUUAUUAGUAUCACUAUUUACAAAAUUUAUCUUUAUAUUAUUUAUUUUAAAAAUUAUUAUUUAUUAAGAAUCAUUUUUAUAAAAGGUAAAACAUAAUUAUCAUAUAAAUAUAAAUUAAAAGUGGAGGUUAUAUUUGUUAAUUAUUUUUAAAAAGGGAUUUCAAAACAUUACUUCUCCAAAAAUAACAAUAAUAAUAAUAUAAACACAAUAUUGACUCAAAAUAUUAUGUGAAUGAAAAACUUAAAAAUAAUAUAUAUUUGUUUUUUAAAAAAUAUUUUGUCAUAAUUAAAGGUCAUCUACUCAACAUGUUGGUGGGAAUGGUAUAUAAGUCAAUGCCUGCUUUGCUCACAAAUCAAAAACCAAAACUUGCUAAUCCUUGUUAUUACACACUAUCCUUGCUCUGUGUUGAACAUGGCUACAAGCCCCUUUCGAUAUUUUAUUUCCCUUUUUCUGCUUUUGCUCUGUUUCGAAGCCUGUUUGAGGGUGGGUGAUGCUAAAGUUGGGUGCAGAGAGAGGGAGAGGCAAGCUCUCCUUCACUUCAAACAAGGUGUUGUCGAUGACGAUGGAGUGCUUUCUUCAUGGGGGAAUGGGGAAGACAAAAGAGAUUGUUGCAAAUGGAGAGGAGUCAAGUGUAACAACCAGACGGGUCAUGUGAUCAGGCUUGAUCUUCAUGCCCAAUCUUUGGGAGGUAAGAUUGGUCCUUCAUUGGCAGAGUUGCAGCACUUGAAGCAUUUGAACCUCAGCUCGAAUGAUUUUGAAGGUAAUUAUAUACAUAUAUACCUUGUGAAAAUUCAUCAGUUUGUCUCAGCAGAAUAUAAUUCUCUCUUUUCCCAAUUUUACAGGAAUUCUUCCCACUCAACUCGGUAAUCUUUCCAACUUGCAAUCCCUUGAUCUUGGCUAUAAUUAUGGGGAUAUGACCUGUGGAAACCUUGACUGGCUUUGUCACCUUCCUUUCUUAACACACCUUGACUUGAGUUGGGUUAAUCUUAGUAAAGCAAUCCAUUGGCCCCAAGCAAUUAAUAAAAUGCCUUCCCUAACUGAGUUAUACUUGAUUGAUACUCAGCUUCCUUCGAUUAUUCCAACAAUAUCCAUUUCCCAUAUUAAUUCUUCUACUUCUCUUGCUGUGCUUCAUCUCCCCUCGAAUGGUCUCACUUCUUCAAUAUACCCAUGGUUGUUCAACUUCAGUAGCAGCCUUGUUCAUCUUGACCUCUCUUGGAAUGAUCUAAAUGGUUCAACUCCGGAUGCUUUUGGAAACAUGACUACUCUGGCAUAUCUUGAUCUCUCUUCGAACGAGCUACGUGGUUCAAUUCCGGAUGCUUUUGGAAACAUGACUACUCUGGCAUAUCUUGAUCUCUCUUGGAACAAGCUACGUGGUUCAAUUCCGGAUGCUUUUGGAAACAUGACUAGUCUGGCAUAUCUUGAUCUCUCUUUGAAUGAACUUGAAGGUGAGAUUCCAAAAUCCUUGACAGAUUUAUGUAAUUUACAGGAAUUAUGGUUGUCUCAGAACAAUCUCACUGGACUGAAGGAAAAAGAUUAUCUGGCCUGCCCUAAUAACACAUUAGAGGUUUUAGAUUUAUCUUAUAAUCAAUUGAAAGGGUCAUUUCCCAAUCUUUCUGGAUUUUCACAGUUGAGAGAAUUAUUUCUUGAUUUCAAUCAACUAAAGGGAACUUUACAUGAAAGUAUUGGACAACUAGCUCAACUUCAACUGUUGUCCAUUCCUUCAAAUUCAUUGCGAGGCACUGUCUCCGCAAACCACCUUUUUGGUCUCUCCAACCUGUCUUACUUAGACUUAUCUUUCAACUCCCUUACAUUCAACAUAAGCCUUGAGCAAGUUCCCCAGUUUCGAGCCUCAAGUAUACUAUUGGCCUCUUGCAAAUUAGGCCCACGUUUUCCUAAUUGGCUUCAAACUCAAGAAGUUUUGAGCGAACUUGAUAUCUCUGCUUCUGGAAUUUCAGAUGUCAUUCCCAAUUGGUUUUGGAAUUUAACUUCAGAUUUAAAUUGGUUAAACAUUUCCAACAAUCACAUCUCGGGCACUUUGCCCAAUUUACAAGCAAGGUCUUAUUUGGGAAUGGAUAUGAGUUCAAAUUGCUUGGAAGGUUCAAUACCACAAUCUGUUUUCAAUGCUAGAUGGUUGGAUCUCUCCAAGAACUUGUUUUCAGGCUCAAUUUCUUUAUCGUGUGGGACUCCUAAUCAGCCUAGUUGGGGUUUGUCUCAUCUUGACCUCUCAAAUAAUCGACUAUCAGGAGAACUACCCAAUUGUUGGGAGCAGUGGAAAGAUUUAAUUGUUCUUGAUUUGGCAAAUAAUAAUUUUUCUGGGAAAAUUAAAAAUUCGAUUGGCUUGUUACAUCAGAUGCAAACAUUGCAUUUAUGUAACAAUAGUUUUACUGGAGCACUGCCUUCGUCCUUAAAGAACUGCAGAGCUUUGCGUCUUAUAGAUUUGGGAAAAAAUAAAUUGUCAGGAAAAAUAACCGCAUGGAUGGGAGGAAGCCUGUCAGAUUUGAUCGUUCUCAACCUAAGAUCUAAUGAAUUUAAUGGAAGCAUACCUUCAAGUCUUUGUCAACUGAAACAGAUUCAAAUGUUGGACCUCUCUAGCAACAAUCUAUCAGGAAAGAUACCAAAAUGUCUCAAAAAUUUAACUGCCAUGGCUCAAAAAGGAAGUCCGGUCCUUUCUUACGAAACAAUUUACAAUUUGAGUAUCCCAUAUCACUAUGUUGAUAGUACAUUGGUUCAAUGGAAAGGAAAAGAACAAGAGUACAAGAAAACUCUUAGAUUCAUUAAGAGCAUUGAUUUUUCAAGAAACCAAUUAAUUGGUGAAAUUCCAAUAGAAGUAACUGAUUUGGUAGAAUUGGUGUCUUUGAAUUUAUCAAGAAACAAUUUGAUUGGAUCAAUCCCUACAACAAUUGGUCAAUUGAAAUUAUUGGAUGUUCUUGAUCUAUCUCAAAACCAACUUAAUGGUAGAAUUCCGGAUACUCUUUCUCAAAUAGCCGAUCUAAGUGUUUUAGACCUAUCAAAUAACACCUUGUCAGGUAAAAUUCCAUUAGGCACUCAAUUACAAAGCUUUGAUGCCUCCACAUAUGAGGGAAAUCCUGGACUUUGUGGACCACCUCUUUUGAUAAGGUGUCCUGAAGAUGAACUUGGGGGAGUCUCCUUCACUAGUGGUCUUAGUAGUAAAAAAGAGGACAUUCAAGAUGAUGCAAAUAAUAUAUGGUUUUAUGGAAAUAUUGUUCUUGGAUUCAUCAUCGGAUUUUGGGGAGUUUGCGGCACUUUACUAUUCAAUAGUUCAUGGAGAUAUGCCUAUUUCCAAUUGUUGAGCAAGAUAAAGGAUUGGUUGUACAUGACAACAAUAGUAAAUAUGAAUAGAAUACGAAGGAGCCUGCAAGGUUAAAUGGUAAGACUUCUCAAAUUCUCUUUUUAGUUUUUCUGGUAAAAUGUGUUAACUUCUAUUUAUUAUCCAACAGUUAAGAAUAAAAAGUACACUUUAUGCUACUACUCAAAUCCCUCUUCUAUUAUUUGAUUGACCUUCCACAAUAUAUUGAUGAAAGCUUAGAUUUUGCAAAUAGAAGCAUCGAUAAAAUAAGCAAGCGUAGAAGAUUUUAAUAUACUUUUUUGUAAUAGUUGUGCAUAUUUAGCUUUCAUCAUGUAAAGAUUAAUCUUAUAGGCCGAGGAUCAUAGUUGAAGAAUGAUUAUUUGUAUUUUUAUUUCUAUCUUACUUCAAGUUACAAUUUUUUCUUUUAAAUGUUAAGUUAAUUUGUUGUCUUCAAAUAUUAUAAGUACAUUAAAAGUUCAAUUGUAAGUAACAUACUAAAACCUUCAUUUCUACUAAUCAAGAAGAGUCGCAACUAAGAAAUUAUUCCAAAUUGAUGAGCGUUGUUGCAUUUCAUCUUUGUAUUACAGGACUUCAGCUGGGUUGCAUCUCAAGGAUUAGUAGGUGAUAUAUGCUUUUGAGUAACGGGAGUAUUUAUGAUGGGAUAGUUACAUGCCUUAAUGCAAAAGCUUGUCAUCGGAUAAAUGACAUCAACAUGUAUUAAGUUUGCUUAUUUGGUAGUUAGCUUGGCUUUAAGUUUCUCGUGUUAUAUUCUAUUUAGAACUUUUUAAACAUUAAUUUUUGCUAUUAUAUGUACGACUUUGUAUUUUGUUGCUCUAAAAUUUAUUUGUUAUUUUUGUAGAAUCAAAUAUUAGAGGCCUUUGUAGGGGGUGCUAAAAAAAUACUUCAUCUUAGAAAAAUAUUUUUUUUUUUGCUCAAAAACAAAGUUUAUUUUUUGGGAAAUGCAAUGUGAUAAUACCCAUUAGUAUGAAAUGUGGGAUAUGCUACUACUGAAAACAGAGCACUCUGUUUUUUUGGUGCUCAAGCAUGAAAGCUCCUGUAACACAGAGAGGUCUGAUUUCCAACCGUGAAUCAAAUUGCUUAAGGUACUCCAUAUGCAGAUUGCUGGAAGUCACUUUGGGCAUCAAUCAUCUUCAAGGGACGAUGAUGAUGGGAAUUGGAUCAACGGCGGUAAAGACCAACUAUGGAAAGUUUGCUAAAAAGCUCCCAUUUCUUUAUUUUGGUUUCUGCUUUUGUAAAUAACAAUGUUAUCCAAAAUUUGUGUUGGUUGCUCAAGUUUUGUAAAAGCUAUUCAACCAAUACAAAUCGCUACAUAAUAUGCAUUUUGCCGAAGAUCUGUGAUGAUUUGGAGCUCUCUCCAAUGCCAUACCAGGUUACAACUGAAACAAGCAUCUUAUUUAGGAAUAGUUAACAACAACGAAGAACUGCAAUUUAUAUUUGUGUUUUUUGUUCCACUGAAUAUUGCAGUAAUCAACUUAUGGAAGAAGUUGGAGCUGUUGGAGAAGAAAGUGCUCUUCAUGUUUGCUCAAACAAUUCAGAGGGAAGUUUAGCUUUUGCUUUGGUAGUUGUGAAGUUGCAAACUGUUAUUAGAAUAAGAAGCCUCUACUUUUGCUUGUUACUGAAUAUGAAUUUUUUUUUUAAGAAGUAAAUUUGCUAAUUAUUGUUCUUUUUCUUAGGCACCCAAGAAAAGAGUAUGUACUUUUAGCAAAGACCAAGAGGAAACUAUUAGAGCUUCAUUUGAGCAGUGAGUGCUUAAUUUGUUCUUUUUUGUGGCAUAUGCAUGUAGUCUUAAAUUUGAUUUCCCUCUGCAUAAUUGAUGCUGAAUAUUGUGAUUUUGGAAAGAUUAAUGCUAGUCUCCUUUUCGUCUUUUAAAUUAAAUUAGAUUUGUUUACGUAUAGGUUUAAAGACCAUAAAAGGUGCACCUACAUGAUUGUAAGUGCUCUAGAUGGUGAUGGUACGUUCACAGCUGCCCAAGUUUCCCAUAAGCUCAAGCAACAAUUUGCUUGUGUUCCUCAUCAAAAAAAGAGUUGAAGACAACUUGCAUUUGAGAGAUGAAGAUCUUAAUGGUUGUGAUAUAGCCAAAGCACAGGAUUCCAAUGAUGAAACAUUGUUUUCACUAAGAAAAAGGUAACUAUAUCUUUAUGAAUUUCAUGCAAUUUUGUGAAUUAAUCUUAUUUGUGUGAUAUCCCACAUCGAAUGAGGGGAAAACUAUUAUAUAUACAUAUAUAGGUUCUCUUAGACACGUUUUAAAACUCAUGAGGGCCCCUUAAGCCCAUAAUAGAUAAUAACUACAUAGUUAGCAGUGGAUCGUUAUAGCUUGUAUGCAAACUUUAUCACAUACUUGCAUCUUUGUGGUUGCAGACUUGUAGUGUAUUUGCAUUUGCUUGCAUUUGUCAAGUACUAUACUUUGGUGAUGAAAUCAUAAAUUCAUGACACUCAAGACUUAAUCCAAUUGACAUGUUUUUUUUUUUACUAAAUACAAUAACUAAUUCUUAAGUUAUAAAUUAUAUCACCAAAUUAUUUUUUUACAAUAUAUAGUUUAUUUCAAAUUUUAUUUUAUUUUUCUUCACCUCUUAGGUUUAUCACUUUACAUUACAAAAUAAAAUAAAUUGCAAUUUCCCUUUUCACAAGAUUUUUAUUUUUACAAAAUAUUCAAUAUUUUCCAACUUUUAUAAAAUAAUUUCCGAAAUUAUAUAAUCGGCUGUUAUAAAGAUUUUAAAUUUUUGUGUUGUCAUGGGAUUAUUUUGUUGGCAUGCUUGACCCAGUUGGUAACUUAGGUUUUUUUUUUUUUUUUAAUUCGCCUGACCUUCACAUGUGGCCUAUUACCAUUGGUGGAAAAUUGUGGGUAAGGUGAGAUUUCGGUACCCAAGCUUGACCAUAUAUAUCUGUGAAUUACGCAGAAGACUCGAAAAGUCAAAGGAAAAAUCCUGGGAACCAAGCUGGAAAACACAGGACUGUUAUUUCAGGGAAGGUGUACGUUUGGGGGCAUAUUACAGCUUGGGUACUGAACAAGAGGCAUGUAAGAAGUCUGGCCAUGGAUGCAGAAGAAGAAAAGCAAAGUAAAACCCACAUCCAUGGACAGUUGGUAGAGAUAAACCACAAUCAGGAGAAACGAAUACGCCACGAAGAAACAAAGGCACAGAAUCUGACAACUGGGUUUGCGGUCGUCCAAGUUUUAAUUCUCAACACACUGGUGAUCAACAAGCCAUCCGGCAGAUGCGAACACUGGUGGGUGCCAUUCUCUCUCUCCUUAUCAGUCGGUGUGAUUUAUUUCGUCACCAUUUUUGAGGUAGUGAAGAAAUGCUACCUUCUGCUCUACCAUUUGGACGUCAACUACAUGGAGCAAGAAGCCAUUCUUCUGGAAAUGCAUGGGGGUGCUUCGUCCCGGCGACAUGAUCAGCCAUUGAAGCCAGAUGUGGUGAAGCUCCUGAGGCGUAAAGCUUAUAUCACGAUACUGAUUUCUGCCAUGCUCGCCUUUCAAGCUCUGAUGCUCCACGCCUGCAGCUCCUUUCUUUGCAACUGAGAUUAACCAUUAGCUAUGUUCACAUGUGAUUAAUGCUCUUGCCGUUUUAAAUACAUAAGAAUAAUGUUGUUUCAAAAAUCGUUUGCUUAUAUUUAAAUACUAUUUUCUCUUUUCCAACUGUCCUUACAAAUAGUCUUAUGCUUAGUAGUAGAAAAAAAAAAAAUAUUAAGAUGAAAAUUAUGUAAUUCAAAUUGAAUGCAUCAAUGGAACCGAAAUUAUUCAUCGUGAAAUUUAUUUACAUCGUUUUUCUUUCCAAAGUAUUUUCUAGUUGGAAAGAAAAUUCCAACAUUGCAAUUUUCGUUAGAAAAACGGGACAAAUUAUAAAAGAAAAGAAAAAUCAAUCUCAAAUACCAAUAUUAAAAUGAUUUAUCUAUUUAUCAACACAAUUUGAGUGGAAGAAAUAAAGACACGUGGAAAUCUAUAUAUCAGGAAUCAAAUAGGGUCAAGAAUGGGUUCCAACAAGAACCAUCAAUGGGCUGCCCAAUCAAUAACAAAAGGCCCUCGAUGGGUCUCAUGGGCCAAACAAAAUGGAGCCAGCACACAAUAAGUUUAAACCCAAAUAAAAAUUUCAAGUACAUAUUUUCAAUCCCAUUUAUAAUUUAUUCAUUUAAAUUAGAAAUCUAUAUAUCAAGAAUCAAAUUAGAGAGACCAAAAUUAACAUAUCAGAGUAGAAAUCUUUACAAUCAAAUUUCUUUUUUAUAAAUUUAAAAAUAUUUUCUAUAACUAAUUUAGAUUAGCAAAAAAGAAAAAAAAAAUCUUCAUCGGACCACACAUGUGAUACACUUUGGUAGUUGUUUUUAAAUUUCAAUAAACAUUCUUACAUCAAAAGUAUAAAAAAAACUAAAAAAAAAAAGGAAAUGUUUAGGAAAGUUUGAUUUUAUUGUAGAAAUUAAACAAAAAAAAGUUAAAUAUAAUUAAAAUUAGUAAAAAAAACUUAAAUAUUUUUAGAUUAUUUUAAGUUUGAUGUAAAGUAUAAAAAUAAUUUUUUAAUUUUAAAUCAAUUUUUUUUCUUUGCUUCUAUUUUUUUCUUUAUUUUUUUUUCUUUUCCUCACAUUUUUUCUUUCACUCCUGAGGAACCAAACAUAACCUAAAAGUUUUAAAUAUAUAAAAAAAAACUUCAUAUUAUAUAUAUAAGGGUUGUUAUUAUAUUGAUUUAUAUAAGUACAAUAUGAUUUUUUUUUUUUUUAUAACCGUGGAUGUUCGGGCCAGCUUACGCGCACCUCGACUAAUCCCACGGGGCCCUGAAGUUAACGACCGGGUAAACCUCCAGUGGCCCUGAGGGGACUCGAACUGGUGACCAUAAGGGAGCAAACCCAAGGCCGGACCAACUGAGUUACCCCUCAGGGUUAUAAGUACAAUAUGAUUAUUCAAAUCAUAUUACAUGUAUAGAAUACGAGAAAUCAAGUUGUGUCAUACUCAAAAUUUCAACAUGAUAGAUAUAGCUUUUGAAGACUUUUCCUUUGCGAUUAAUUCUUAUACUUGGAAUUUGUUUAGGUAGGGUAGGGUUUUUGGAAGUUUGUUCGCAAUUUUCUCAUACUUGGAAACAAUUUCCAAAGGAAUGGUCAGAGAAAGGAACUAAACAAAUAGAAGAUUGAAACGGACUAGAUAGACCCUCACCUGCACCGAAGGUUUGUAUGAUCUUCGUGGACCGCAGGCCGCAUGGCCUUCUCAAGCCUCCAUGCCUUGCUUUUCCGCUUAUAAAGAACAGCCAAAAAGGACUUGACUGAUCUGAAAAAUCAGUGGCCGGAAAAGCGAGCUCGACACGGAGAAACAAUUGCCCAUGCAGUUUGGGAGAUCACAGAGCGAACUGUUGGAGUCUGGGCUUUUGUUUCUUCGUGUCGAUCUCGCUUCCCUUUAUGGCAGAGCUUUUCUCACCCUUCAGACACUCUCCUCCCAAACCAACCUCUCACAGCUUCAAUGCAGCUCACAUCCUCCUCACCGGCGCAUGGUGGUUACUACACUAUCCAGAUGCUGCAGCAGCCCACUUCCCUCAGCCUUGGACUCAUCUACAACUUGCCCGACUCUUACAUCACCUCGUUGCAGUCUUACACCAACUACUCCUACUGGUCUGGACCCGAUAUAUCAAACGUAACAGGCGAU